UCGUAGGUGACCUGCGGAGGAUCAUUACAGUAUUCUUUUGCCAGCGCUUAACUGCGCGGCGAAAAACCUUACACACAGUGUCUUUUUGAUACAGAACUCUUGCUUUGGUUUGGCCUAGAGAUAGGUUGGGCCAGAGGUUUAACAAAACACAAUUUAAUUAUUUUUACAGUUAGUCAAAUUUUGAAUUAAUCUUCAAAACUUUCAACAACGGAUCUCUUGGUUCUCGCAUCGAUGAAGAACGCAGCGAAAUGCGAUAAGUAAUAUGAAUUGCAGAUUUUCGUGAAUCAUCGAAUCUUUGAACGCACAUUGCGCCCUCUGGUAUUCCAGAGGGCAUGCCUGUUUGAGCGUCAUUUCUCUCUCAAACCCCCGGGUUUGGUAUUGAGUGAUACUCUUAGUCGGACUAGGCGUUUGCUUGAAAAGUAUUGGCAUGGGUAGUACUAGAUAGUGCUGUCGACCUCUCAAUGUAUUAGGUUUAUCCAACUCGUUGAAUGGUGUGGCGGGAUAUUUCUGGUAUUGUUGGCCCGGCCUUACAACAACCAAACAAGUUUGACCUCAAAUCAGGUAGGAAUACCCGCUGAACUUAAGCAUAUCAAUAAGCGGAGGA
rnacentral:rRNA from 1 species